UUUAAUAUGGCAGAUAUAAGUGCAAUGGAUUUAAAUCCCAUUUAUAAAGAUAUGUUUAUUCUUUUAUUAAUA
rnacentral:tRNA from 1 species